ensembl:lncRNA
GCUGGGAGCUCCGAGCCCUGGAGAAGUGGCCCUGGCUUUCCCUCUGGGGGAUGUGCCAAGAGCUCUCCGUUAUUUGGUCUGGGCGCAGGUGCUUCUGGGCUUUGUAAACACUUGGCCUCUGGGCUCUGCCCCAGAAGCCCCCAGCUUCCCAGAACCAGUGGCCCCAGUUCCUGUUCAGCAGCUGCUCUUUCUGUAAGGCCUUUGCAAGCCUCAGUGCCCCUUCUGAUGGGACACCGAAGGCCAGGAAAGGUGAGAACUUGCCAAAAGACACGUAGCAAACACCAAGGCGGAACUGAGAAGAGAACUCAUCAACACUGGAUUCUUGGUUAACUCAAUUCAAAGGAAUAUCUGCCUUUUCACCCCAAAACCAUAUCAUCAACCACCUGUGAAGCUUGGAGCCAGCCACUUGGCCUCUCUGCCUCAAGUUUUCUCUUCACCUAUAAAAUAAGAGGAUAGCACUCAAUGUCCACAAAGCCUUCAUCUUCUCUGGACUACAGUGGUUCUACAAAGGCUUCAGUGAUCCAAAAUGCUGCCCCACAGCCUGGAUGGGAGGGGAGUUUGGGGAAGAAUGGAUGCAUGUAUAUGUAUGGCUUAGUCUCUCUGCUGUGCACCUGAGACAAUCACAGCAUUGUUAAUCAGCUACAUUCUAGUAUAAAAUAAAAAGCUACAAAAUAUUCUGCCCCAGCUUUGAUGUGACAACAGGAUUCUCACUAGCCCAACUCCUUUUAUA